UCCUGACUGACCGAUAGUGAACCAGUACCGUGAGGGAAAGGCGAAAAGAACCCCGGCGAGGGGAGUGAAAAAGAACCUGAAACCGUGUACGUACAAGCAGUGGGAGCACGCUUAGGCGUGUGACUGCGUACCUUUUGUAUAAUGGGUCAGCGACUUAUAUUCUGUAGCAAGGUUAACCGAAUAGGGGAGCCGAAGGGAAACCGAGUCUUAACUGGGCGUUAAGUUGCAGGGUAUAGACCCGAAACCCGGUGAUCUAGCCAUGGGCAGGUUGAAGGUUGGGUAACACUAACUGGAGGACCGAACCGACUAAUGUUGAAAAAUUAGCGGAUGACUUGUGGCUGGGGGUGAAAGGCCAAUCAAACCGGGAGAUAGCUGGUUCUCCCCGAAAGCUAUUUAGGUAGCGCCUCGUGAAUUCAUCUCCGGGGGUAGAGCACUGUUUCGGCAAGGGGGUCAUCCCGACUUACCAACCCGAUGCAAACUGCGAAUACCGGAGAAUGUUAUCACGGGAGACACACGGCGGGUGCUAACGUCCGUCGUGAAGAGGGAAACAACCCAGACCGCCAGCUAAGGUCCCAAAGUCAUGGUUAAGUGGGAAACGAUGUGGGAAGGCCCAGACAGCCAGGAUGUUGGCUUAGAAGCAGCCAUCAUUUAAAGAAAGCGUAAUAGCUCACUGGUCGAGUCGGCCUGCGCGGAAGAUGUAACGGGGCUAAACCAUGCACCGAAGCUGCGGCAGCGACGCUUAUGCGUUGUUGGGUAGGGGAGCGUUCUGUAAGCCUGCGAAGGUGUGCUGUGAGGCAUGCUGGAGGUAUCAGAAGUGCGAAUGCUGACAUAAGUAACGAUAAAGCGGGUGAAAAGCCCGCUCGCCGGAAGACCAAGGGUUCCUGUCCAACGUUAAUCGGGGCAGGGUGAGUCGACCCCUAAGGCGAGGCCGAAAGGCGUAGUCGAUGGGAAACAGGUUAAUAUUCCUGUACUUGGUGUUACUGCGAAGGGGGGACGGAGAAGGCUAUGUUGGCCGGGCGACGGUUGUCCCGGUUUAAGCGUGUAGGCUGGUUUUCCAGGCAAAUCCGGAAAAUCAAGGCUGAGGCGUGAUGACGAGGCACUACGGUGCUGAAGCAACAAAUGCCCUGCUUCCAGGAAAAGCCUCUAAGCAUCAGGUAACAUCAAAUCGUACCCCAAACCGACACAGGUGGUCAGGUAGAGAAUACCAAGGCGCUUGAGAGAACUCGGGUGAAGGAACUAGGCAAAAUGGUGCCGUAACUUCGGGAGAA
rnacentral:rRNA from 1 species